AACAGAAUGGCUGAGGGGUAGGCGUUAGACUGUAAAUUUAAUUACGGAAAAUUUUCCUUCUGUUA
rnacentral:tRNA from 1 species